CUACGGGUGGCAGCAGUGGGGAAUAUUGCACAAUGGGCGCAAGCCUGAUGCAGCCAUGCCGCGUGUAUGAAGAGGGCCUUCGGGUUGUAAAGUACUUUCAGCGGGGAGGAAGGGAGUAAAGUUAAUACCUUUGCUCAUUGACGUUACCCGCAGAAGAAGCACCGGCUAACUCCGUGCCGGCAGCCGCGGUAAUACGGAGGGUGCAAGCGUUAAUCGGAAUUACUGGGCGUAAAGCGCACGCAGGCGGUUUGUUAAGUCAGAUGUGAAAUCCCCGGGCUCAACCUGGGAACUGCAUCUGAUACUGGCAAGCUUGAGUCUCGUAGAGGGGGGUAGAAUUCCAGGUGUAGCGGUGAGAUGCGUAGAGAUCUGGAGGAAUACCGGUGGCGAAGGCGGCCCCCUGGACGAAGACUGACGCUCAGGUGCGAAAGCGUGGGGAGCAAACAGGAUUAGAUACCCUCGUAGUC
rnacentral:rRNA from 1 species